rnacentral:rRNA from 1 species
UACGGGGGGAGCAAGCGUUGUUCGGAUUUACUGGGCGUAAAGGGCGCGUAGGCGGCGUGACAAGUCACUUGUGAAAUCUCCGGGCUUAACCCGGAGCGGCCAAGUGAUACUGUCGUGCUAGAGUGCGGAAGGGGCUACUGGAAUUCUCGGUGUAGCGGUGAAACGCGUAGAUAUCGAGAGGAACACCUGCGGCGAAGGCGGGUAGCUGGGCUGACACUGACGCUGAGGCGCGAAAGCCAGGGGAGCAAACGGG